rnacentral:lncRNA from 1 species
AAAGAAAGAAACAUAAUAUAUUAGCACUGUGUUAAACAGACAGAUACCACCCCACACAGACAGAUACCACCCCACACAGACAGAUACCACCCCACACAGACAGAUACCACCCCACACAGACAGGUACCACCCCACACACACAGGUACCACCCCACACAGACAGAUACCACCCCACACAGACAGGUACCACCCCACACAGACAGAUACCACCCCACACAGACAGGUACCACCCCACACAGACAGGUACCACCCCACACAGACAGAUACCACCCCACACAGACAGAUACCACCCCACACAGACAGGUACCACCCCACACAGACAGGUACCACCCCACACAGACAGGUACCACCCCACACACACAGGUACCACCCCACACAGGCAGGUACCACCCCACACAGACAGAUACCACCCCACACAGACAGGUACCACCCCACACAGACAGGUACCACCCCACACAGACAGGUACCACCCCACACACACAGGUACCACCCCACACAGACAGAUACCACCCCACACAGACAGGUACCACCCCACACAGACAGAUACCACCCCACACAGACAGGUACCACCCCACACAGACAGGUACCACCCCACACAGACAGAUACCACCCCACACAGACAGAUACCACCCCACACAGACAGGUACCACCCCACACAGACAGGUACCACCCCACACAGACAGAUACCACCCCACACAGACAGGUACCACCCCACACACACAGGUACCACCCCACACAGACAGGUACCACCCCAAGCAGACAGAUACCACCCCACACAGACAGGUACCACCCCACACAGACAGCUACCACCCCACACAGACAGGUACCACCCCACACACACAGGUACCACCCCACACAGACAGGUACCACCCCACACAGACAGGUACCACCCCACACACACAGAUACCACCCCACACAGACAGGUACCACCCCACACAGACAUGGUACCACUCCACAUAGACAGGUACCACCCCACACAGACAGGUACCACCCCACACAGACAGGUACCACCCCACACAGACAGGUACCACCCCACACAGACAGAUACCACCCCACACAGACAGGUACCACCCCACACAGACAGGUACCACCCCACACAGACAGAUACCACCCCACACAGACAGGUACCACCCCACACAGACAGGUACCACCCCACACAGACAGCUACCACCCCACACAGACAGGUACCACCCCACACAGACAGGUACCACCCCACACAGACAGGUACCACCCCACACAGACAAAGGGGAUCGAAACUUCCAUCUCUGAAAUACAAGUUCAUCCUAAACAUUUGAUGUCAAGUUUGAUUUAUCCGAGUUCUCCUUAACAGUAGCUCAACAUGCACAAAACCAGACCUGUACAUAAGACAACAACACAAAGUCAUCUAAAGAACUCUGUCACACACACACACUGCACCCUGUGUUCACACACACUUACAGACAAAACACAAAGGCUACAUCUCCCUCUGCAGGAACCUGAACAGAGCUGCAAACAUAAAGAGUUUCAAUCAAAAUGUCUCCUCUCGCUCCCAUCCUUCCCAGAAUGCCUUCUGUUUGACCUUUCACCCCAACCUCACUGAAAUAGAACACUGGGAGGUUUCUCUCUCAGAGAAAAGUACAAAGAAGGCAAAUGGUGGAAUGAUGAACAGAAAAACAUGGGCAGCAAGAACAGAAGGAGAGAGAGAGAAAGACAGGGAGUCAAGGAUGAAGAAGAACAUUAUGGCAAAGUGCAGGGGAAGAUACAAGGGAAAGAGAGGACAUCACCCAGGCAACAAGAAGAAGCAGAGAAUAAGUAAACAGGGACUAUAAGGCAGUAUGUCUGAAGGGGACAGAAAUACAGUUCAUACAGAGUAAUUAGAAGUGGAGAAUAGAAUAGGCACAGAUAAGCAGUGGACACAAAGAUAGACGUCUUGACAUACAGAAAGACAUAUGAACUGAAAGUGAGGAAAAUGAAGUGAAAGUGAGAGAGAUCAUGUAUUUACCAGAAUGGGAGGGGCAACUCAGCCUGUGGAGGGGGAGGAGAGGCCGUGACUCUGAG